GUCUACCGCCAUACUACCCUGAACGCGCCCGAUCUCGUCUGAUCUCGGAAGCUAAGCAGGAUAGGGCCUGGUUAGUGCUUGGAUGGGAGUAUUUUCCAGGCAACUGUUAGUCA
rnacentral:rRNA from 1 species